rnacentral:rRNA from 1 species
UUAUAAGAGACAGCAGCCGCCGCGGUAAUACGAAGGGGGCUAGCGUUGCUCGGAAUGACUGGGCGUAAAGGGCGCGUAGGCGGAAUGCUUUGUCGGGCGUGAAAUUCCAGGGCUUAACCUUGGGGCUGCGUUCGAGACGGGUAUUCUAGAGUGGAGAAGAGGGUCGUGGAAUUCCCAGUGUAGAGGUGAAAUUCGUAGAUAUUGGGAAGAACACCGGUGGCGAAGGCGGCGACCUGGUCUUUUACUGACGCUGAGGCGCGAAAGCGUGGGGAGCAAACAGGAUUAGAUACCCGCGUAGUCCCUGUCUCUUAUAC